CGCCAGUGGAAUAGGCUACAUUCAUCCUAUUUCAUAAACAAGACAUUAAUGAUGAAACCUCGUCUCUAGACUAGAAUUUCAACCCCAGCUUUCCUGGGUUUCCAGCUUGCAGAUGGCAGAUUGUGGGACUUCUCAGUCUCCAUAAUCUCAUGAAUAAAUUCCUCGUAAUUAAAUCUCAUCAUAUCCCUGUCCAUCCAUCCGUCUCCUAUUGGUCUGUUUCUCUGGGGACCCUAAUACAGUGAACUUCCAUAGGCCUGUCACCCAGCUCCAACAGUUAUCAACAUUCUGCCAUUCUUGUUUGUUUUUUUGAGACUGAGUCUCGCUCUUGUUGCCCAAGCUGGAGUGCAAUGGCAUGAUCUCAGCUCACUGCAAACUCCGCCUCCCGGGUUCAAGUGAUUCUCCUGCCUCAGCCUCCCGAAUAGCUGGGAUUACAAGCAUCUGCCACCACACCCAGCUAAUUUUUGUGUAUUUUUAGUAGAGACAGGGUUUCACCAUGUUGGCCAGGCUGGUCUUGAGCUCCUGACCGCAGGUGAUCUGCCCGCCUUGGCCUCCCAAAGUGCUGGGAUUACAGGCAUGAGCCACCACACCUGGCCCAUUCUGCCAAGUAGGUAAGUAAUCAUUGAUUACUUCACCUUUAACAUAGUAUUUUCAGGCCGGGCGCAGUGGCUCACACCUGUAAUCCCAGUACUUUGGGAGGCCGAGGUGGGCAAAUCACGAGGUCAAGAGAUGUAGACCAUCCUGGCCAACAUGGUGAAACCCCGUCUCUACUAAAAAUACAAAAAUUAGCUGGGUGUGGUGGCGUGCAUCUGUAGUCCCAGCUACGUGGGAGGCUGAGGCAGGAGGAUCGCUUGAACCUGGGAGGUGGAGGUUGCAGUGAGCCAAGAUUGUGCCACUGCGCUACAGCCUGGCGACAGAGCGAGACUCCGUCUCAAAAAAAAAAAAAAAAUUACUUGCCAAACUUAUUUGACUAUCAAGCCCUUUUUUUGAACCCUGCAGAAAAGCACUCUGGGAUUUAAACCAUCAGCUGACUGGCUGUCAGGCCUUUGGACUUAGACUAGAUGAAAUAAGUCUAUCUGUGCUCCUGUAACUUUUAGCUCAACCCAUCAAGUGCUCCAGGUGCUUAAAUCGCAUUCUCGAUUGAAUUAAAAUUCUACCUUCAAGUCACCUAUGUUGAAAACAUGUUUAGAGUCAACAUUCCAUCCUUGCUACAGGUCGAUGGCUUCAAGGUAACCUUAGUCACCAGGGUCCUGUUUUCAGGGUUGUAGGUUCCAGAGGUUGAUUUUGUCACCUCAUCAGAAUUGUAAGCAUGUUUUUUUGCAGGGUGAAAAGAGAGGUAUCUGUUAAUUUUGAAAUAGUUUCCAAUUUACAGGAAAGUUACAAGAAUACUGGGAAGAAAUCCCAUAUACCCUUCACCCAGAUUCCCCCAUUUGUUAACCUUUGACCACAUUUGCUUUAUUAUUCUAUGUUUACAUAUAUAGACACACAUAACAGCUGUAUACAUAUACAUUGUCAUACACACGUGUAUACAUAUAUAUGUAUACACAUAUAUAUCCCCUCCCCCCAGUCAUUUGAAAAUAAGUUGCAGGCCGGGUGUGGUGGCUCAUGCCUGUAAUCCCAGCACUCUGGGAGGCCGAGGUGGGCAGAUCACCUGAAGUCAGGAGUUCAAGACCAGCCUGGCCAACAUGGCGGAACCCCGUCUCUACUAAAAAUACAAAAAUUAGCUAGGUGUGGUGGGUGCCUGUAAUCUCAGCUACUCAGGAGGCUGAGGCAGGAGAAUCGCUUGAACCCGGGAGGCAGGGAUUGCAGGGAGCGAGAUCACACUACUGCACUCUAGCCUGGGCGACAGAGCUAGACUCUGUUUCAAAAAAAUAAAUAAGUUGCAGACAUCAUGCCCACUUACCUCAAUGUAUAUUUUCCAAGAAUAAGAACAUUCAUUUUCAUAACCACAGUACAAUGAUCAAAGUCAAGAGAUGCAUGUUGACACAGUAAAAAGUUCUUGAAUACAUCCUUCUGGAAAAAACUGAUACUUUCUUAAAUGGAGGCUGGCUUUAAAUGAAAGGAUAAAUCCCUUUAUAAUGGGUGUUUUUGUAAAUGCAUCACAUAGCCAGGAAGACUAUAGUUCUAAUCUGCUUUUUUUCCCCCUAGAGAUAGCGUCUCACUCUGUUGCCCAGGCUGAAGUACAGUGGUACAAUGAUGGCUCAUUGCAGACUUAACCUCCUGGGCUCAAGCAAUCCUCCUGCCUCAGUCUCUCAAGUGGCUGGGACUACAGGCGUGUGACCUGUUUUUUUUGUUUGUUUUUGUUUUUUUUUUGAGACAGAGUCUGGCUCUGUCACCCAGGCUGGAGUGCAGUGGCGUGAUCUCGGCUCACUGCAAGCUCCACCUCCCAGGUUCACGCCAUUCUCCUGCCUCAGCCUCCCCAGCAGCUGGAACUACAGGCGCACGCUGCCACGCCUGGCUACUUUUUUUGUAUUUUUAGUAGACACGGAGUUUCACCGUGUUAGCCAGGAUGGUCUGGAUUUCCUGACCUCAUGAUCCGCCCGCCUCGGCCUCCCAAAGUGCUGGGAUUACAGGCGUGAGCCACUGCACCCGGCCGGCUGUUUUUGUUUGUUUUUUUUUUUUUUUUUUUUUAAGAGAUGGGGUCUCACUGUAUUGCCCAGGCUGGUCUCAAACUCCUGGGCUCAAGUAAUCUUCCUGCCUUGGCCUCCCAAGUCGCUGGGAUUGCAGGUGUGAACCACUGCACCUGGCUUAAUCUACUCUCUGUAGGUCCACUGGAAAUCUAAUGUCAGGAAUUCAUUAGGCAGGAUGAAGAAAAGUGAAGGGGAUUACCAGGUGUGACAUAGGCACUUGUAAGAAGCUCUGUGGCUCUUAGUGGAGCUUUUGGUUUUCCUGACACUGAGAUAGAAGAUGUCCAAGCCUAAUUUUGUCACUGCUAUCAUCAUAGAAAGCUGGAGAAGUAGGGGGAAAGCUCCUAGCACAUGGGUGGGAAAUCCUCAGAAAUCUAUUCUUCUAUGUAAGGGAGGUGUAGAGUUUCUGUCCUCUUGGAAUUUUUAAUUUGUCAUCAGAUUUGCUUUAGCAGGACAAUAAUGUGACAAAAACAUGGAUCCUCAGCCUGAUAAAUGAGGUCAAGUUUGAAAGCAAGAAAGGAGACAAGUGAGUAUUUGAAUUAAAGCCGAAGGCAGUCCUUAGUAUUCUGCUGUAAGGAGUCUGAUGCUACUUUCCAUCAGGAGCUGCAUCUCUCAUCUAGUAAUCAUUAUCUCUAUCCGUCAGUAUCAAAAACCUGGACUCCCAGUGCUCUCCUUUCUUGGUUUACCAUUGAAAUCCAUUAGGAAUACCAGCAUCAAAUGACAUAUGCAAGACCACUAACCACUAGAGGAAGAAUAUUCAAAUAAUUCAAAAAUCGUAAGAGGUAUUUCAUAAAUUUUCUUUUUAAUUUAUUUAUUUAAAAUUUUAAAAAUUUAUAAUAGAGAUGGGGUCUCACUAUGUUGCCCAGGCUGCUCUUGAACUCCUGAGCUCAAGCAAUCCUUCCACCUUGGCCUCCCAAAGUGCUAGGGUUACAGGCAUGAGCCAUCAUGCCCAGCCUAAGAGGUAUUUUCUAUGAAGUAAUACAAAUCCAAAGUGGAAGAGAAAUUAUAGAUCAUCUCAUCCAGUGAUUUUUCAUUUUGUUUUUGACAGAUGAACUUUUCCAUACAUAAUCUUACAUGGAACCAUAAUAUAUCAUACAGCACAUAAAACAAAAAGGCUGUGGCAGAGUUUUAAAGCUUUUCAGUGAAGAUUGGAAAACCUGCUAGACAAAUUCUAAAAGAGCUGUAACACUCAUAGAUUUGUACAGUUAUUAACAGGGCAGUUGUCCAAUAGAGGGUGGUAGUAUCUUGAAGGAAAAGGGAUGCCUUUUGGAAAUUUGCUUUAAGCCUCUGUAUGUUGACUGGCUACAGGGCUGAGCCCCAUUCACUCAACAUCCCCCUGUCCUGAAGUCAUUGCUUCCCAACCUAUUCCCUGUCACGGUACCUAGAAAAUGAUGCCUUUUUUUUUUCUCUUUUCUUUUUCAGAUAGAGUCUUCCUCUGUCGCCUAGGCUGGAGUGCAGUGGCGCGAUCUCGGCGCACCGCAACCUCUGCCUCCCGGGUUCAAGCGAAUUCUCCUGCCUCAGCCUCCGGAGUAGCUGGGAUUACAGAUGUGCUCCACCAUGCCCGGCUAAUUUUUGUAUUUUUAGUAGAGAUGGGGGGGUUUCACCAUGUUGGCCAGGCUGGUCUCGAACUCCUGACCUUGUGAUCCACUAGCUUCGGCCUCCCGAAGUUCUGGGAUUACAGGCAUGAGCCACCACACCCGGAUGAAUUAUGCCAUUUUUAAGGCAAAGGUAAGGAGAGGAAAUGUGAAUGGAACCGCUCCUGGGGGCUCACCCACCACAGGCCUUGUCUGGGAGGGCUAAUGAGGUCAUCAUGCCAAGGCACACCAGCUGGGAAGCUCUUCGCUAAGGAACUGCUAUCAAGCAUAGUUUGAAAACUACAGUGACAUGUCCAGUUCUUUUGUUUUACAGGUGGGGAUACUGAGGUUCAGAGCGGGUGAAGGACCUUCCCAAGGCCAAAAAACCUUUGUAUUUUUAGUACAGACAGGGUUUCAAUAUACUGACCAGCUGGGCUCGAACUCCUGACCCCAUGUCAUCCGCCCACCUUGGCCUCCCAAAGUGCUGGGAUUACAGGUGUGAUCCACCGCACCCGGCCUGGGAGUCCCUUCUAUAUCCCUAAAACAAAUUCCUCUUUUCACUUUUGCUAGAAUGUACAAUUUUCUGUUCUUUAUAAUGAAAAAAAUCCAGAGAAGCCAAGUAAAUAUAGUAUGGAGUAAAAGUGAAAGCAAGGUUGGUCUACAGCUUGGGAAAAAUGUAUGACACUGGAACCUCAUGCUGUUUUACUAUCAGGCCCAAAUGCUAUGCUGUUUCCCCAUUCAUGUCACCCAGUGGAUCAAGGCUACCUCAACCACUGGCCUUCUCUUGUGUGAUAACUGAGUUACGUACCUCCAGGAAGUCAAAGAGGAGGGUGGCUGUCACAUCUGACAAGGGCUCCAUGUUUAAGAUCUGUGCCAACCAGCGCCAUCCAUGAUUUAAGCCAUGAGGGUGAAUCUGGGAGUAGAGAAGCUUGGUUAUCAUUGAUCUCAUUUUGUUUAGAAAUCUAAACUCCCAGUGUAUCAUCCAGCCAUUACCAAGUGGAAAUGAACCCCAGAUCAUCCAGCCCUAGCACCUGCCACAGGGCAGAAAUAACACAAACUAAACAAAUUCUGUUUUUCUUUUAUUUUUUUGAGACAGGGUCUCACUUUGUUGUCCAGGUUGGAGUGCUAUAGUGCGAUCAUGGAUCACUGCAGCCUUCACCUCCUGGGCUCAAGUGAUUCUUCCACUUCAGUCUCCCAAGUAGCUGGGACUACAGGCAUGCACAUGCCACCGUGCUCAGCUAAUUUUUUUGUAUUUUAUUUAGAGACAUGGUUUCACCUUGUUGCCCAGGCUGGUCUCAAACUCCUGGAGUCAAAUGACCCACCUGUCUCGGCUUCCUAAAGGGCUGGGAUUACAGGCAUGAAUCUACCUCGCCCAGCCUUCUGUAUUUAAAUGUUUCAGUACAUUGGUUCCCACACAUUCUUUUUUUUUUUUUUUUUUUUUUUUUGAGGGAGAGUUUUGCUCUUGUUGCCCAGGCUGGAGUGCAAUGG
rnacentral:lncRNA from 1 species